UAGCUGCCUACCGGCGUGACAAAAUCUUUUUAUUCAUUGAAAAGAGAGUACCUCACCCAACAGGUGUGCACAAAAACUUUUGUUUUGCAUUUACAUGAGCAAGGAAGAUUAACUAUCUUUUCAAGACAUGUGAAAAUAUUUUCUCCAUGUUUUGAUUUGAAAGCAUCACACUAUUGAGUCUGCAUAUGUUUGGCACAGACAAACUUAAUUAUUCAUAGAGCGUAGUUGUCAUUUGGUAGUAUAACUAGGAAAACAUUUUAGUUAUAUCCAUCGGGAUUGAUCGGAUCCCUUGCACUAUAAGUUCAAAUUGUUUCUUUUUGCUCAAGUUUCUAUCAU
rnacentral:lncRNA from 1 species